rnacentral:tRNA from 11 species
GUGUGGCCUAGUGGUUAAGACGCCAGGUUGACAUCCUGGUGGUCGCUGGUUCGG